rnacentral:misc_RNA from 1 species
GAGGAAGAGAGAGUCAGUAGCGAGCGAGACGUCAGAGGCAGGCGACGCUCUCUCUCAUACCUCCGUCAUGGCUCCCGACACCGCAAAAAAGGGGAAAUCUACUCCCAAAGUAUCUCAGGAGCUACCAUCAUUUGAGAAGAUGAUGGUCAAAUUCAGACAUGGUGACUCUCAGAUGUGGUGGGUAGUGUUUGGUGUGAUUUGCCUUAUGACUGCAGCAACGAGGUUUUACAAAGUUGGAGAGCCAGACCAUGUCGUUUGGGAUGAAACUCACUUUGGGAAGUUCGGAAGUUGGUAUAUCAACAGAACGUUUUUCUUUGAUGUUCAUCCUCCUCUUGGAAAGAUGAUGAUUGGAGCCUUUGGUUACUUGACUGGAUAUGAUGGGACAUUUCCAUUUGUCAAGCCUGGGGACUCGUAUGAAGGAGUCAACUAUCUGGGCAUGAGAGUGUGUUGCACUGCCUUGGGGGCUUGCUUGGUACCAUUUGCCUUCAUUAUUGUCUGGGAGAUGACCCAUUCUCUACCAGCAGCAGCUCUGGGGUCUUCUCUCAUUCUUUUUGAUGUUGGUUUACUGACACUUAAUCAGUACAUUUUACUGGAUCCAAUUCUGCUUUUCUUCAUCAUGGGAUCUGUGAUGGGUAUGAUGAAAUUCCUUAACCAGCAUGAGAGGCCCUUCUCAGUGGGUUGGUGGGGCUGGCUGACUUUCACUGGGGUCAUGUUAUCAGGAUCAGUAUCUGUCAAAUUUGUGGGCUUGUUUGUGGUGUUGUAUGUUGGCCUCCACACAAUUAAGGAGCUCUGGGAUCUCUACGGUGACCUCAACAAUUCCCUGCUCUAUGUUGGGAAGCAUUUUAUUGCUCGUGCUGUGGGUCUUAUUGUCCUCCCAAUUGUGUUGUACUGUGUGUAUUUUUACAUUCAUCUGACGGUUCUGAGCAAAAGUGGUAAUGGAGAUGGCUUCUAUAGUUCUGCUUUCCAGUCCCAGUUAGAAGGCAAUUCCUUAUACAAUGCCAGCAUGCCAUUAGAACUUGCAUAUGGUGCUGAAGUCACUCUGAAGAAUGCCCGCACAGGUGGAGGAUAUUUGCAUUCCCACAUUCAUUUGUAUCCUGAAGGCUCUGGAGCUCGGCAACAACAGAUCACCACCUAUUCCCAUAAGGAUUACAAUAACAAAUGGUUGGUGAAGAAAUGGAAUGAAGAACCAGGUGACUGGGAGGAUGAUGAUCCUGUAGAGCUGGUGAAAAAUGGUGAUCUCAUUCGUUUAGAGCAUGUCCCGACUGGAAGAAACCUCCACUCACAUCGUGAACCGGCUCCUGUCACUAAGCGACAUCACCAAGUAACAGGGUAUGGUGAAAAUGGAGUUGGAGAUGUGAAUGAUGUUUGGCGUAUAGAAGUAAUUAACGGAGAAGAGGAGGAAGUUGUGAAAACAGUGGUUCACAAAAUACGCCUUGUGCACUAUCUAGUUGGCUGUUCACUGAUGUCCCACAAUAAGCAACUGCCCAAGUGGGGCUUUGAACAGAUGGAAGUGACAUGCAAUCCCAAUGUACAUGAUCCUAAUAAUGUUUGGAAUAUUGAGGAUAACGUUUUCCCAAAAUUACCCAAUACCAGUUUUGAGAUUUAUGGUCCUAAUUUCGUGGAGAAAUUCUUUGAAGCCCACACUGUAAUGUUCCAAGGAAAUUCUGGGUUGAAACCCAAAGAAGGAGAGAUCACAUCACAGCCCUGGCAGUGGCCAAUAAACAUCAAGGGUCAACAUUUUUCAGGUGGGAAUCCUCGAAUAUACCUCCUUGGAAACCCAAUUGUAUUUUGGGGCAACUUAGUGGCUCUGGUAGCAUUCUUCUACCUCUACAUCUUGCAUUCCUUCCAAAUCAAAAGGGGAUAUUAUAUUUCUCCAGCUGUUGGAGGGUCAGUGGUUCUCCGCUAUCGAUGGAUACAAAGUUUACCUGUUGGGUAAUCCCAUCAUUUGGUGGGGUAACCUAGUUGUGUUGGCUGCUUUUGUGCUGGUCUAUAUCUACAAUGCUUAUAGGACUCAAAGAGGACUGAAGGAUGAUGCUGCAACAAGAGCCCGACGUGAGAAGGCCAUAGGAGCCUGUGGGUGGCUAGCUGUGGCAUGGGCACUUCACUACCUGCCCUUCUUUGCCAUGGGUCGUAUUUUGUACUUCCACCACUACUUCCCAGCUCUGCUCUUCUCUUCCAUGCUU